CAGGCUGUUGAAGGGGAGCACGCUGAAGUUAACCACCACACCACCAGGCAGGCCCCGUAUAGUUCAUUUUUUAAAUGAGCCACUUCGAAUUUUACCAGGAAUUGGCUUCAAGCUUACUGGUCUCCAGUUGCCAAAAUUUGCCACUUUACCCUUUUGAAAAUCAAGACAUUUCUUGUCUUCAGUCUACUGAUGCCUCUCCCCAAAAUUAUAAAAUCUCAAUGCUUCCACCUGAGAGUUCUUCAAUACCAUGUGUCCAAGACUAGAGGUUUGACCUCCUUGAUCAGUGCUCUCUCUUUAGCUCCUCCCUUAGCUUAGACUUCAGUUUUCUCCUAAAAACAUUUCACCUCCCUAUUUCCAUAGGAGGUCCAUUCAGUUUGAUAGAAAACAUAGAAAUAAAAUAGAAAUUGGGUAGGUCUUCUUUUUCUCUGUCAUUGGCAACAAUGACCUGUACCCUUCCAUUCUCUGGUAGCUGAGAUUGUAGAAUAAAAAGCCUUUUAUUUUGUUUUGUUUUCUUUAACCAGUUUUGCAAGUCACAACUAAUUCUGAGCUUUAAUUUUUCUGACACAUUUUGUGUGUCUCUGUGCCAUUCUUUUAUAUUCACCACAGGUUACGUGUCUCUCCUGACUUUCUUUUCUAAUUUUUUUAUUGAGUUGAGAGAGUUACCUGUGUAAUCAUUUUAGUUUCUUAAGAUACUACCCAUCAUUGUUUCUCUUCAUCAGGAUAAUUUUUGACUCUAUGUUCCAGCUGUGGGUUUUUUUUUUUAUCCUCGCAUUCUUUUUUAGUCAUAUUCCAUUUUAGAGUCCCUGGCUAGGAAAGCAUACAUAUACCUUGCUAUUCCCUAAAUUUUUUGAAAUCUGCUUUCAUAAUAUCAAGGCUACAUGUAUAAGUGAAUCCAAUAUUCCUGUCUUUGACUUCUGAACUCAAAACUCCAACCAGUUCUUCUCUUUUCAGCCCAGCGUGAGUAUUCCCCUCAUAUUUUUUGAAAAAGAAAGUUGUUAGCAACUUAAUUCAAAAACAUAUCAUUGUUUUAAUUUGUACUUCUUUGCUUACCAGUGAGGUAGGAUCAUUUCAUAAUUUCAAAAACCAUUGCUAUUUUCUGUGUAUGCAUGUGUGUGUGUGUGUGUGUGUAGGAUGUCUAUGCAUUUUUUCUGCCAAUUUACCUAUUCUGGUCUUAGUGUAUUUUCCUUAUCAAUUUGUAUUUCUUUUUAUAUUAAGAUUUUUAACCUUCUGUUAUAUUCAUCAUGAUAUUUUCUCUGGUUUUCCGUUUGCUGGUAUAGUGUAAGUUGGUGUACGUUUACUACAGUGCAGUUUGGCGAUAUAUAUCAAGCUAUAGGCUUCAGAGUAUAUCCCGAGUGUUCAGAAGAGCUGGCACUGCCUUGAGCAAGAGAGAUGCAGGAUUCCAAGAAGAAGGAGACACUAGCCCAACCCGCCAGCAAAAAAUACACUGGAUCAAGAGAAGUCACAUGGGUGCCUGGGGGAAAGAAACAAAUUCUGCACCCGAAACCAAAGAAAAUGCAGGACAACAUGGGAAGUCCCUUCAAAUCGGCAGCCAAGUUUGUGGUAGAAAGAAGGAGUCAGAGGGGAGGGAAGCAAGAUCAGACAGCCUGACCACAAAGCUCAAACACAGCUGGGACCUGGAUGAAGAGGAAGCACACCAGUUCCAGGAAGGAAAGAGGGGGAGAGAGGCCUCUCCCUACAAUCUACAGGUACAAUCCCAGGCAUGUUGGCUGGAAUUGCUCCCAGCACAAGGCUUGAACCAGCUGAGCAACCCCAGGAACUCCCAGGGUGCAAGAAAUCUGGAGGAACUUGUGAUGGGCAGAAGGUGAAAUCUUCUCACAAAAAAAACUUGUUUGCUUCGCAACACAUGCCAAGCAGGAUUUUGGCACUUCUGAGGAAACUCCUGCAGUUCUCACAAAAGAAAUGAUGAGGUCUGAAGAGGAAGAAAAUGCUUUUUGCUUUUGGUCACAUGCCCUAAGAGCUCAGAGCAAUCAUCUUGAGGUUUUGAAGCUUCCCAAGAGAGAAGUUUCAUAUUUUAUAGAAAAUCUGACUACAGAAAG